GUGUGAGUUCCUUUGUACUUGGCGGGGUGUGUUUAGUGGGAGGAGAAAUUCCAUGUGUCUAAGGAGAAGAGGAGGGUGUGUGCACACUCGCUCGUGCAAGUGCACACAUGCCAUAGCAGUUAGGCAUGUGGGAACUACGGGAAGGAAGUUCUGGAGAAAGGAGGGGAAGACAGCUGCUUCUCCCUGAGAUCCUGGAUGCAGGAAGACCAGCAUAGGACCUACAGAUCUGAGAAGAGGAUGCCCAACACUCACUCGCUGAGGGGCCUUGAGAGAAAUGGUUUUAGGAGUGAGAUCUGGCUGGUCUCAUUCUUACCCCUAAUCCUGCCCCUCCACCCCACCUCCCAUGCAAUAGCUGGUGCUAUUUUCCUUUGCCUCUGAAAUGAAGGCAUGCUUGCCCAAGGCUGGCACCAGCACCAGGUCAUUUGUGAACUGGCGUGUGUGACGGACACAUCAGGGCUGUGCACCCUAGUCCCUGCAUUAUGUCACCUAACAAACAGGAGUGUUGUAUGGCUCAGGGACCCAGCUCUUCCUAAGUGCUGUUUGCCACAGGAGCACUAGUCAGAGGUUUAAAGGGUGACUGUGUCUCCGAAACUGCUCUUCUCUCUGUGGAUGCAAGAGGAGGGUUGUGAGGCCAAGUGCUCAGUGUCCUUACCUCAGUGGUACUGUCUUUCAUUGCCAUUGGUUAAAUGAACACAGAGACAUUUUCCUGCAGGAUAAUGUCUGGAAGGACCUGCAUGUUGUGGGAACUGGAGGAAUUCUAAAUCUGUCCUUUGAUGUCCUAUACGCAGAGUGUCUGCCAGGGAAGAGUCAGCGGAAUUCUGUAACUCCGGGUUGGCAAACUUUCACCGCAGCAGGGCGGAGAGUAAACAUCUUCAGCUUUCUGCCACAACUAUUAAAGCGGCCAUAGACAAUGCCUAAGGAAAUUGGCACUGCUGUGUUCUAAUAAAACUUUAUUUACCAAGUCAGGUUGGGGGCCUGAUCAGACCAGCGGACCGCGGGUUUGCUGCUCACAGCAUUAACUUAUGGUCGAUGCCCAGCAAGAGUGUGGGGAGUUAAUUUGUUGAAGGCUGGCUGUGAAAAGUCGAUACAAGUGGAAGAGACGUCUGAAUUCUGCUGACCUGGAGCUUUGGGAUCCUUCUGUGUGGGAGGAAAUGCUGAAUUCAGAGGCAGCUUUCAAUCAAGUGGCCAGGAGAACGAUCCAGGCCAGCACAGAACCUUCUGCAGUGGAGAAUGUGGAAAAUAUUCUGGGGGAACUGCUGUUCCGUAACGAUGCUGUGUCCCAGAGCAGCUGGUCUUACUCCCAGGGAGACACAAGAGCUAGUCCACAACAGAGCUGUGAAGGUCAACAUUCUCCUUUGGUUUGGCGUUCUCACUGACUCAUUCAAUAUCUACUGCCCCUCCUGUGCGUUAGACACUUCUGGGCAUUGCUAACCUUGCUGCUUGGAACUUACUAAAGGGAGACGGAGGGCAGAAGAAAUUUAAGCAGCAGCAAAUCCUUUUGUUUCUCGUGGCUCGGGAUCCAAAUCACGGAAGUGCUGAUCUGCACAGAGGGAGCCACAUCCAACCUCUGGAGCCUCCACCCCGGUACUCAAGGCAGUCGGUGGGAGGUGCAUGCCUCCGUUCCCUCAUUUCACAGGUGACAGAUGUAACCAAACAAGCGUAGAGUCAUACCUCGUAACCAUGGGGAACUGAUUCCAGGACACCCACCGAUAUCAGAACCCACAGGUAGCAGAACAGUGCUCACGCUUAAGCUAUGUACAAGUUGUCACAUACUGUGUGUCACCUCGACAUUGUUUGUGAUGCUGAACACAAUGCAAAUGCACUGCAUAUAAUAGCCACUCUAUUGUACUCUUUACAGAAUAAAGACAAGGAGAGGGAUCUGUGCCUGUUUGCAAGGAAGGGGACUUUCUUAUUGAAUGUUUUCCAUUCACAAUUGGUUGGAUCCUCAGAUUUGUGACCUGCCCAUAUGGAGAAUGACUAUCUGCUCGUGAUAAGUGCCUUGGUAAAUUAACACAGGCUAAGAGAUGGUGGUACACACGCACUGUUUGACACACACUGGGACCUACCUCAGAG